UACGAAGGGUGCAAGCGUUGCUCGGAAUUAUUGGGCGUAAAGGGCAGGUAGGUGGUCUUAUUUGUCUUAUGUGAAAUCCUUGGGCUUAACCUAAGAAGUGCGUAAGAAACGGUAAGACUAGAGUCCCAGAGAGGCUUGUGGAAUUCCCGGUGUAGCGGUGAAAUGCGUAGAGAUCAUGAGGAAGACCAGUGGCGAAGGCGGGUCUCUGGACAGUUCCUGACACUGAGGCACGAAGGCCAGGGGAGCAAACGGG
rnacentral:rRNA from 1 species